GUUUGAUCAUGGCUCAGAUUGAACGCUGGCGGCAGGCUUAACACAUGCAAGUCGAGCGGGGAAGAGUAGCUUGCUACUUUACCUAGCGGCGGACGGGUGAGUAAUGCUUAGGAAUCUGCCUAUUAGUGGGGGACAACAUCUCGAAAGGGAUGCUAAUACCGCAUACGUCCUACGGGAGAAAGCAGGGGACCUUCGGGCCUUGCGCUAAUAGAUGAGCCUAAGUCGGAUUAGCUAGUUGGUGGGGUAAAGGCCUACCAAGGCGACGAUCUGUAGCGGGUCUGAGAGGAUGAUCCGCCACACUGGGACUGAGACACCGCCCAGACUCCUACGGGAGGCAGCAGUGGGGAAUAUUGGACAAUGGGGGGAACCCUGAUCCAGCCAUGCCGCGUGUGUGAAGAAGGCCUUUUGGUUGUAAAGCACUUUAAGCGAGGAGGAGGCUACCGAGAUUAAUACUCUUGGAUAGUGGACGUUACUCGCAGAAUAAGCACCGGCUAACUCUGUGCCAGCAGCCGCGGUAAUACAGAGGGUGCAAGCCUUAAUCNGAUUUACUGGG
rnacentral:rRNA from 1 species